rnacentral:piRNA from 1 species
UCUAGGGUGAUGAACUUUCCUGCAGGAGGAC